GUGGGGAAUAUUGGACAAUGGGCGCAAGCCUGAUCCAGCAAUGCCGCGUGCAGGAAGAAGGCCUUCGGGUUGUAAACUGCUUUUGUACGGAACGAAACGGUCCGGGUUAAUACCCUGGGCUAAUGACGGUACCGUAAGAAUAAGCACCGGCUAACUACGUGCCAGCAGCCGCGGUAAUACGUAGGGUGCAAGCGUUAAUCGGAAUUACUGGGCGUAAAGCGUGCGCAGGCGGUUUUGUAAGACAGGCGUGAAAUCCCCGGGCUCAACCUGGGAAUUGCGCUUGUGACUGCAAGGCUGGGGUGCGGCAGAGGGGGAUGGAAUUCCGCGUGUAGCAGUGAAAUGCGUAGAUAUGCGGAGGAACACCGAUGGCGAAGGCAAUCCCCUGGGCCUGCACUGACGCUCAUGCACGAAAGCGUGGGGAGCAAACAGGAUUAGAUACCCCGGUAGUCC
rnacentral:rRNA from 1 species